CUGAAGUCCAAUGGACAGCUAUAUGACAGAGUCACUGAGCAUUUCACCACGAUGAAGGAUAGAAGAAUGUCCUUCCUCAACAGGUAUAGCACCAUGGACAGCGACAUGGACCUCCAGGGCCUUUGUUUUGAUAAUGUGGAUUGUUGUCUUUAAAACAUUUUCUUGUUAUACUAUCUAUCUCAUGUUCUUCUCAUUGUUAUUUUGCAAAGGGUUGUAUACAUUGUUUUAUAUAUAUUUUGGGGAACAUGAUCACUUCAAGUUUCUGUCUUAAUUACUUGUCUUUGAUACCACACAAAAAUGGCAUUCACUCUUAUAUGCAAUCCAUAGUCUGUGUACUAGUGCCACCUACUGGGCGAUUAUAAAGGUAGCCUAUAUUAGCAGUCUAAGCAUUACAGCAACAUACUGCAGUAGCACUGUGUUAAUAUCCAAUUACCUGUGAUAUUUAUAUGCAAUCAGGUAUGUCUGAAAACCUUCAACUACAUGUUUAUUCUUCAGAUAAUGAGAAGAAACUCAGUGGCAACAUCAUGUUUCAGCCUGUACAGAACUAGUGUGUGAUUGCGUGUGCAUCUUUUACAGUGAACAGCAUUGUAUUUUCUAGCUGAUUGCAUUUAUAUUGUUAGAGAUGUCCCCUCAUAAGAGUGUGCACAUAAUUUCUCUGUUACUAAUAAUCAGUGCUUAUGGCUGUGAGAAGUUUGCACAUGUUGUUGUACAGUGUCUGGAGAGAGAAAAUAAAAUCACACGUCAUGCUGUUUUAGUUCACAAAAGCCUUGUAAAUGCUACUGUUCCCAUGAAAUGGGAUAUAAGCGCGAAUGAGAAGCAUUACCACAGCGACGGCACUUGUUCAUUCUGGUCUGUGAAAGCAAGUGACUAUGAUGUCUCCAUGUGAUUAUAUGGCAAUAUGAUCUCCAUACCAAGCUUACUGGCUUCCUCGGUAAUAUUUGCCGCACACCGCCACUGCCUGACAGGCUCUCAUUUUGUGCCAAACAUUUCGGCUUACAUUGCAAUAGUACUGAAUCAUUUGCCAUUUGUUAUAAUUAUAAAUUUGUCAUUUAUUGUAAAACAAAAACUUUAUUAACAAUGAAUGAAUCAGUUUUAAACAGGAUUUUUUGACUACAUCUUUUGAUACUGCAAACUACUAAAUGGAGUUCAAGAAUUUGCUUUAGGUGGACUGGUGGCUCCUGCAUGCAGGACAGCCAAUCCUAAUUAUUCAAUGACUGUCCUUGCAUAGGUUGCAAGUAUAAAGUAAAUAUAUUCCUCACAGUCUGGGGAAUAUCGUGUGUAGUAAUCAAGAGUCCUUUCACAUAAAAAUACUUUACAUGUCAACAGAUGAUUCAAAAUAUUGUUAGAUUAUCACCAAAGAGCCCAACUGCUUCCAUCAGUCUGUGGUCAGGUGCACUACAUGAUAUCAUUUUUAAACCAUGAGUGCAAAGACAAAAACAACACGGAUGAGGCAAGAGUCUACAUUUGAAGUCCUCCUUAUGACUCUCAGUGUGCUGUAAAUGUAACCAGAGAACGGAUAUACAAAUAAAUGUAAAUUAGAAAAGACUCUGGUCUUAUCCAAUUUACAAUAUCCUUGAAGUUGCUGCCGAGAGUCCAUCUUUCGUGUUCCUCCUCAGUUGAGUUGUCUGAUGAUGGAGUUAAUGUCCGUGCCACGGAAUCCAG